rnacentral:lncRNA from 1 species
UAUAUAUAGUCAAAUGAAAUCAGCAGUAACUAGAAGUCAUAAAUAAGACAAAUAGACUCCCUUACUGAACGUCUGAAUCAUUUGAAAACUGCAAAUAGCUUAACUGACCCGCUACUCAUGAGAGUUUCAUGCGAAAUUUCCAAGAGAAGCAUCAUCCAUUUUGGCAAUAAUUCUUUGACCAAACUUAAUUACAACAAGGUAGCUGGUCAAGCCUCUUGCGAUCCCUCUACGCCAAAAUGUACAUGUUUGAUUGUACAAUUGUUUCUUUCUCUUGCGAAGACUAAUAUAUAUAUAUACACAUACAUAUACAUUUUAUAAUUUUAACUAUGCACCUCAAUCCCCUAUUCCAAAUGAACUAUAUCCUCUUGUACUUGGAAUUUUUAAUGAAUCUAUAGCUUCCACGAUAAUACACUAACUAAUUGGGCUAUCGAUCUUGUGAUGAACAAUUUGAGAUCACUAGAACUUCUGAAAAUGGCUCGAUGUUUCACGUACAAUCCGAAGUUUCGUAAUGACGUUGGUUGGACUAGAAAUAAACACCCCAUUAAUUCUUCCAAACAUGAGUUUAUCUUAACUAAAGUAUGAGCAAUUGCAUUAUGAUCUCCCUAAAUUUCAACCGUAUUGUUAACUCUGCAUCUUUUUUAUUUAUUUAUUUUUUCUGAAUAUCCACAAUAGUCCAAAAGAUUUCAGUUCUACCCCUCUUCUUAUAUAACACAAAAUCAACUACAUAUUGCAAUCGGUUUGAGGGAGCAACUCUGCAUCGUUUGCAAUCUAAAUGCCAGAUUAACAGCUGCUACUUCUGCCCGAGCUACAUGAUGUUUAUUUUGUUAAAGAAAACUAGAAAAUAUUGAGUAAGGGUGCAGGCUAUUUGCCGUAAAAAAAUUUAUUCUAAACCCAAUAAAUUUAAUGAAAAAUAUUCGUAAAUUUUAAAUUCAACAGUAGAGUAUA